AUGCACCGGGAGCCCGACGUGGGAUUCGAUCCCGGGUCUCCAGGAUCGCGCCCUGGGCCAAAGGCAGGCGCUAAACCACUGCGCCACCCAGGGAUCCCCCUACAAAUGUUUUUAAAGAUUUCACAUACAGGUGCUUUAUGGCUACUUGGAAGCAAAUCAAAAGUUGAUGCUAUGGAUAUAACAGCUGGAGGUAAAAGUACACUUGUCAGCCCCGCAGAAAAAUCAAGAUGGAAAACUGCAAAAGGCAAACCUAAGGGAAGACAGAAGCCCAACAUUCCAGGACUAUUUAGUGGAGAUGUGAACCAGUCUAGGCAUCUCAAGGGCCUGAGUGGUCUCUGCAUUAGAACAUAAGGUGUACAAUUAUGAACAGUGGUCUCCAAGAAUGUAUAUAAGUGUAACUAAUCAUGGAUUCAUUUCUUCUUUUGUUCAUUUAUUCACCAAAUGAAACACACAAAACUGAUUGGUCUGUCAAUAUCCCUACUUCAGCCAAAAUGGCAAGCACCAAGGCAACUGAGAACAAAAGGAUUUUGUGGAAAUGCUUGACCGUGGGAGCCAUACCUUACCAGGCUAUAAGUGGAUAAUUUAAAAAUAAAUUAUAGAACUCUAAACUUUGAAUCA
rnacentral:lncRNA from 12 species